rnacentral:rRNA from 1 species
AAUACGUUCCCGGGCCUUGUACACACCGCCCGUCACACUACGAAAGUCGGCAACACCCGAAGCCGGUGGCCUAACCCUUUUGGGAGGGAGCCGUCGAAGGUGGGGUUGGUGAUUGGGGUG